rnacentral:lncRNA from 1 species
AGUAUGUGCAAUGAACCUUUAAAGGAAAUGAACAAUAAAUUGAUCAAAUUCGAAAAGAAAGAAAAGUUCCACUGUCAAGAAAAGAGAGAAGAGCCACGGGCGCACAGUUAUCUGAAGAGAUAAGCCACAAAGAAUGUGAGUUCAUCCUUUUAGCUACUCAGUGCAAACAUCCUGGUCUUAAUCCAGAGACUUCUUUCACCUACCCAUGUUUAAUCCUUCGGCCAAAUGAGAUCAGUUCUCAGCACCCCCACCUCCCUGGGAUACUAUUUCCCUUCAAAAAUAUCUUGUAUGAAUUAUUUUAAUUAAUCUCCAAACUCUUCUUUCCCUUUUCGAUUGCAUUUGCGCAGCAUCUGAGGUGGAGACGAUGUGUGCCGUGGCACCUGUAGACAAGAAGACAACUUGCAAGAGUUGGUACUGUCCUACUAUGUGGCUGCCUGGGAACUGAACUGAGGUCAUCAGCUUUGGUGGUGGGCUCUUUUACCCAUUGCAUCAUCUCCCUGUCCCUCCACUACCUACUGCCUUUCUAGGUUUUAUCUUCAAAUGAAUCCUCAUCAAGACCAUCAUAAGGCCUUUUCUGAAACUCAGGAUGUAUUAUCACAGUCCACAGGCUAAAAUGUUUCAAUGGCUUUCUUCCAUCCUGUAUAAAAAUAAAAGGGUUCAGAAUAGCCUAUAAAGAGGCCACAAAAUGACCACCACCAAUUUAGCUACCUAUCACUUUACUACACUAACUUGCUCUACUCCAGCUACAGAGUUCUACUUCUGUUUUUCAGACAGCUUUCCCCUGGUUAUCUCAGUGCUGUUGCUCCCUUCUCUCCCUCAAUAGUCUCUACGUACGUCAUUUUAUGAAGUUAUUUAUUCAAAUGUGACACUUACCGUUACCCAAUUGUUAUGCUUAAUAUUGUAACCUCUGUUCCUUGGCUCCGCAUUGCCUAGAUCUGAAUUCUUUAUGUACAUUUGUUAUUGGUACUAUUUGACUUAUAAUUCCCACAGGUCAGGAACUUGAAUGUUUUGUUUACUAUGCCAACAGCAGUACCUUGUACCAACUGUUGCUUAGUGAAUAUUUGAUAAACACAUGUAUGAGUAAAUGCAUAAAAAGCUAAGGUGACAAUUUUAGUACACAUUUAAGGGAAGAAACCUUGCAUUCGAAUACUUGCAUUGAUACACUGGAAAGAGAUCAUGUGAGUUGGGAAACACAUCCCAGCUCCUUUCUGGGGAAACGGGUCUGUUGAAAGGUUUAGAGCAGACUCUGGGAGAGAACACUUGGGGUGUCCUCAUCUGGAAAGAGACAUGAAUUACUCAUAGCCGCUUCCUUGUAUGAACCAAACUGUGCUUGAAUAUGGCACCAUAGGAAAUGAUCAGUAACUGUGAUAUACAGAUAGGCUGCAGUGAUUCAUUCUUAAACAUGCCCGUCUUGGAGGAAAUGGCAAUAUCAACAGUGGUUCUCUUAAAGGUGCAUAUAAUAUUGCCUUGUUGCACCCUGUACAUUUUUUGACCAUUAUCUUUGUUACUGUCACAAUUGCCCUUGUCAUCAUCACCAUUCUAGUGGAGUGAUACUGAGGGAAAAAUCAAAGACUAUUUAGCAGUAUGUUUACCGAGUUUCAAAAAGCCACGUCUAAGCAAAAGAAGUAAACUACAUCUUCAAAUCCAAGGCAGGGCCAUUGUUUCUUAGACGUGCCCAUCAGGAUUGUUGCUUAGGAUGUAAGAUAAUCUUUGGCUGUUGAGCUCUUUCUCUGUCACCUGUCAUUGCUGGGGAAAGGUGGCUGGUCUCAUUGUAGUGAAGGUCAUCUGAGUUUACAUCUCCUGAAGCUUCUUGGCCUUUAACAAUGUCGCACACCCCUGAGGCAAGUAUGGCAGACUGUUCCUACUCCUCUACUCCAUGUAGAGGAAGACAGUCCAGAAGACAGAAACAUUUUCAAAGUGAGAUGCUCACCUCCUGACUUCCCUCCUUUUCUUGCUUCAAGUGAGGGAAUUUAAAUCUUGAGACCAAGAAGAGAACAACUGCUGGAGGCUCCUUAGUACCUUCAGUUCAAGAGCAGUUUAAACGUUUAGUCCAGAAAAAUGGAGGCCAAGAGUGUUCAAGAUGAACGGGACUGAGGAGAUGGCUGAAUGGAUGAGGAAGGGUGGUAGGCAGGGAACUCUUCCUCCUUCCUCUGUCUCAGCAAGUGAUGCUUUAAUUAUCUGUCGUGGCGAUGAGCAGAGUAUGGGAAGACCGUUCAUGUUUUGAGUACGUUCUUAUGGAAGGGGAGAUGGUGCUCCCUGAAAGGUGUGGAAGGAGAGAAAGAAAGGAAAUAUAAGUAAGAGUGAAAGAGUUGGCUGUAUAUAAUCUCAAACUGCAGUGUUUACAUUCUGUUGAAAUUGGGCACAUGGGCUACAUCAAAGGACAAGGAUGCAUAGCGGCCCAAUGCCCAUAGGAUAGGAGAGCAGAUCAUCU